rnacentral:misc_RNA from 1 species
AUCAGUUUAAUAUCUGAUACGUGGGCCAUUGGCUCACAUGAUAUUAAAUUAAUUUUUUUAUGGGGAGGGCCCAUUACGGUAGCUUGCUGCUGGGGUUCUCGAGCGUCGCCCAUGCGUUGCACUACUGCAAGGGCUUGGUGCACCCACCAAAGCUUAAUUUAAAUGUGUUUUACUUGAACAACUGUUUAUCAGAAUGUCAGCAUUAAUAUUGUUGCUGGAGAAAUGUAAAACCCACAUUUCAUAGGGUUCAAGAAGGGCAUUAAUCCCUUAAAUGAUGACAUUGAUAAGGUUAUUUUUACGAUAAGCGAAUUUGUAAUAAAGCACUUUGUUUUAUACUUUGAUAAGGUUAUACACUUUGUUUCAUAUUUUAAUAAUGUUGUUUUUACAAUUGUUGGAC